GGGGGUAUAGUUUAGAUAUGGUAAAACAUAUGUUUUGCAUACAUAAGAUCAUCGGUUCGAAUCCGAUUAUUUCCA
rnacentral:tRNA from 1 species